GUGGCUAUAACUCAGUGGUAGAGAAUUUGUCUAAUGUGCACAAAGACCUGGGUUUGAUCCCCAGAGCUGUA
rnacentral:tRNA from 1 species